GCUUAAGAAAGAAUCCAGAGGAAUUGCAGUUUCAGAGGUACAGGUGUCUUGACUCUGUUACUGAAUCCACAAGGUGGAAGGAGUCCAAGGCUGAAUGGAGCAUCAUUCCCCAGCAACUCGUACCAGAUGUUAAAGAAAUGAAUAGAAAUGAAAGUCAGCAUUCCCUGGGAUGAAAGUAUCAAGGUUUUUUCACUGUCAUGGAUAGAAGAGGCUCUGGGAAACUGCCUUGUUUUCUCCCAUAUGAAGCUGGAGGUGGAUGAAGGCUGGGAAAUCUUUGUCUCUGUAUCCAGACUUGAGAUGCCUGUUAGUGCAGCUCAGCAAGGGAUGAAGGUAUCUCUUCCCCUUGUCCAGGAAGGCACCGUGGGCGUCAAAGUGAGUCCUGGGAUCACACAGCUCCUGACCUACCACAGCUACACACCACCCCACUUAUUCAGGGGUUGCAAAUGGCUUACUACACAGCUAUAAAUUCCAGAUUUCUCCUCUACAUAUUGGAUUGCUCAUCAGUUAUCUGGAUGGCCCAGUGGCAGCACAGUCUGGUUUAUUCUGGAGCUACUCAGAACUUAUUUCAUAUGUCAAAUGUUCAUAACUGUUCAGACUUUGGCAGGUUUUUGGUUGUCUGAUUCAUAUGGAUAUUUGUUUUUGGCCAUAGAUUUAGCUUGCUCAGAGUUUUUAUGAGGUCUGGUGGAGGCUUCUGUGUUACUCUUUGGCUUACAAACCUAAUUUUGAUGUGAUGAUUAGAUGAUAAAAAGUAUUUCUCCUUGCUUGGAAGAUGCUACCAUAUGAGGGCUAUGGGACCAUAAACUCAUUCCUAGGAUAACGUCAGGCUAUAAACUACAAAUUAGUUGUCAAUGUAAAGAAAUACUCCUACCCAACCAAACCCAGGCCUUGCCUGUAAUCUUCCAGGGAACAGGGGCAAAUAGAUGGUAACCCCAGCAAAGAAACACAGUGGUGAGACAGUCCCAGGAAGUUCAGGUAAAGGAAAGUGUCAGCAGUCUGCUUUGAUUCACUGGGAUCUAGGGCACAUCAGCUGUUUCUAAUAGUGAAUGCUGAGCCUUAGCAAAACCUUGAAAUUCAUUUUUGAGUGUGUUUAGUGUCUAGCCAAGGAACUUCUUUUUGCUAAAACUUUUCCACUAUAACUGGCAGAAAUGCAACUGAUCAUAACUGCAUAUGAAAGAUUGCACAACACAUCUCCCUGUGAGCCAGAAACAGGGAAAAGUCAAAGAGCAUCCCAGAUAUAUUACAGUGAGCAUUUAGAUUAAAUGGUAGCAUAGCCAUGUAUACCUGUCCUGAAUGUCCCCAAGUACUGAAUGUAAGGACUGUGGUUCACUUUUAAGUCUUUCAAGAAUUACCAUACAAAUAUCAAGAAGUCCAGCUACAAAAGAUGGACCUUUUGUUUGUUUUAGACAUUACUCAUCUAUGGUAUUUCUUCUGUGGGUAGGAGAAUCUUUCCUGCAAAGUUUGCUGUAUCCUUUUCUUGAGUAAUUAUUGCAGACUACCAGAGCUCCUGUAUAUUUGUGCUGGGUAAUUUGUUGGCUGCUUUAUAGUGCAGAGAAAUUUAGAUGAGAUAAGGCUCUGACCCCAUGCAAUUUAGAAGGAUCGUGACUACUGCUGCCUCGGCACAAUUUUAAAACCAAAAGAAAGAUUUAUACUAGGUUUUAGAGAAUAAUUUAAUGAUUUAAUUUUGUUAGUGUUUCCCCUUACUCACCAGGCACAGCAAAAUUUGAGUAGAUAGCCCAUAUCUGUGUCCCUUCCCCAUCCUUCCCAGCUGGCUUUUGUUCCCAGAAACACAAAAGUAGUCUUUUGGGAGAGGAAGAAAGAGAAGCUAACACCAACAAGAUAAUCAUAGUGGGGGUACUUAGGGCAGAAUAAUAUUUUAAGGUAAUAAGUAAAACAAAGAUGUACAUCAGUUGAGUGAAUCAAAUCAUCGUUGGAGAGGAUGAGUUCUGUUACGUUAUUGAAUGAAACUUAUCCACUGAAGUUUAAAUCAGUGAUGUUUGCUACUGCAACUCGCUUUCUGUGGCAGGUUUGUGUUAUUUUUCGGAUUAUAUAUUUUUCCCUGUUGUUCCUGUUAAUACCAAAUUUAUAGAAAAUAUGGUGGGUUUUUGUUUGCUUUAUUCUUGGACUUGUUCUCAAGUAAAGGGAAAGAAGAGAACAGAAUUUUAUACAAAUGCUUGCUGAAAUUUACAGCUGAAGAACAUUUGAUUUGAAGUUUAGACAUGUAAUGCUCUCCAUAAGUUACCUACUAUAAAUUUGAAACUGAUGUUAUAGUUUUGAUUACACAUUUUUAUGAUGCAUUUUGUGCCUCAUUUCCAGACAGAUUUAUAGCCCUUACAGAAUACUAAAUGAGUGACUCCACAUG